GUACUACUCCCUUCGUUCGAAAAUAUUUAUCCUAGAAAUGAUUGUAUUUAUCUCUAGAUACAAUAUAUAUAAUCAUUUUUAGGAUAAGUAUUUUCGUACGGAGAGAGUAUGAC
rnacentral:pre_miRNA from 1 species